CGAACCAAAAGCAAACAAAACCCACCCCUCCUCCCACGUCUCACCACCCCCCGAGCUCGACAACCUCCCUCCCCUGCCCCAUCGGCGCCCCACACCAUCACCAUACCCCCAAGCCCCGCCGCCCACAACCCCUCCGGAGAGCCGGUGACCGCGGGGCGGACCCGACAACCGCGGCGCCCCACCCCACCACCACCACCACCCUCCCGUCCCUUCCCCUCCUCCGCCCCACCUGCCUCCCCUGACCCGCCUUCCUAUCCCGCCCGCCGCCGCCGCACAGGGCCGUAGCCCCCGCCCAGCCAACUACCUCCGGCGGCCAUGCCCCGCCCGGCAACCACCGGAUCCGGUGGGAUCCCGCUCCACCUCCCCUCAUCUCCCGCCUUUUACCACGCCGUCGCGCCGAACGGAUGGAAGGUAUCCGAUGGAGCGCCAUCUUCCUCCUGCGCCAGCUCCCUCCCAUGGCCGGCCCGAUAUGGGCUGGAUCUCUUCUCCUAGGACGGCAACGAUGUGCCAGGAGGUACACGGUGGCGACGGCAGUAGGGAUUGUGCGUGCAGUCCGGCGCCCGUGGAUUUGCAGCUCGGCUGUGUGAGAUGCGGUUGUGGGUGUUAAUGUCAAGCAGUUCGUGGGCACGCCGGCAAUGACUGCAGCAACGGCUCUGCUUCCAGCGAGCUCAACCGGUCGUCCGCCGGCGGGAUCCUCAGUUCGGCGAUGCGUAGACGUACAGUGCGGUGGCGCUGACAAAAACGACGAGGAGGACGAUGGUGUGUGACUUGUGGUUCGCGGGAACUGGUGACCCCCCAUCUUGCCAAGAUCCCUCCGCCGCCCCUUCCCUUCCCUCCCUCCUAGGUGUGCAGAACGGUUUUCGUUCAGUGCAGUAAAAUUUCUAAUGCAGCUCAUUAAUUCCUCUUUGCAGUUUGUUUGGUGCCCCCGGCAUGAGGUUCAACCAACUUAUCUACUUGCAGUUCGAAAACUGGUCUACAAACGAAAAGGCAUGCAUGAUUUGUGGACGACCAAGAAUUUUACCUGUGUGCAGCUCUACUUGCAGUACUUGCGGCUCGACUGUGGAGUUCGCUUGGCAUUUUCGUUCAGUCCACUGUGUAAAAAAUGAACUAGAUGUCUCCGCGGCUUGGAGUGAGACCAGUGGCGGAGCUACAAGGAAUUUCCUGGGCGGGCCAAGCCAAAGGAAGCCUAAUACUUUUGCCCUUGUAGUCCAGUUUUACUUACCUUUAUACCUAAGUGGUUUUGGCUGAUGCUGGGCGGGCUAUGGCACUGUUUUGUUCCUAUGUAACUCCGCCGGUGAGUGAGACAAUCCACUUUUGUUGUUGAUUUUGAUGAAUUCAGUGCAGUAAAAUCUCAAAUUAGUAUGCUUUGCGGCUUGUUUGAGCACAGUGAAGAACUACCUCAAGAUAUUCAGAAUCCCAGUCAAGUUGUCAGCGCGGAGAGAAAAAACGGCGUCAACAACAACAAAAAUGCAUAUGCAGGGGGUGGCCGGAGCUGGAGUGGAGUUGCUCUCCUCCAUGGCGCUCCACCUCGGUGGCUGUGCGGGUCAUAGGAGUUUUUUUUUCUUCCUUUUUUUGGAUUUUGGAUGUGCAGUGCACCCGGAUCACGCGAGCAGUGCACCCGGAUCACGCGAGCAGUUAAUUGCAGUGUGAUUACAGUUUUGGUAGCGCGGGUAGCAUUUUGUUCUUUUACCUUUAUAGAAAAAAGUUUCAUCUAGUCAGCCUUUUUUUAUUUCAAAUAUGCAGUUCAGUGGCAUGGUGUAGUUUGCAGGUGCAGUACGCCGCUGGGGUGUGAUCUAGUACAUCACGGCUAGUCCUCAAUUGCUGUUCGACUGGUGACAUUGUGGAUUUUGUGUGUAUGGCUGUGUGUGUGUCUGUUUAAAAAUAAUGAAAAGAUAUAGAGUAUAUGUUUUGAAGCUCA